GACGAACGCUGGCGGCGUGCUUAACACAUGCAAGUCGAACGGAAAGGCCCUGCUUUUGUGGGGUGCUCGAGUGGCGAACGGGUGAGUAACACGUGAGUAACCUGCCCUUGACUUUGGGAUAACUUCAGGAAACUGGGGCUAAUACCGGAUAGGAGCUCCUGCUGCAUGGUGGGGGUUGGAAAGUUUCGGCGGUUGGGGAUGGACUCGCGGCUUAUCAGCUUGUUGGUGGGGUAGUGGCUUACCAAGGCUUUGACGGGUAGGCGGCCUGGGAGGGUGAACGGGGACAUUGGGACUGAGAUACGGCGCAGACUCCAACGGGAGGCAGCGGUGGGGAACAUGGCACAAUGGGCGGGAGCGUGAGGCAGCAACGCCGCGUGCGGGAUGACGGCCUUCGGGUUGUAAACCGCUUUCGACUGAGACGAAGCGUGAGUGACGGUACUGGGUAAAGAAGCACCGGCUAACUACGUG
rnacentral:rRNA from 1 species